GACGAACGCUGGCGGCGUGCCUAACACAUGCAAGUCGUGCGAGAAAGUUCCUUCGGGAGCGAGUAAAGCGGCGCACGGGUGAGUAACACGUAGGUAACCUGCCCCCCAGUCUGGAACAACUAGAGGAAACUCUAGCUAAUGCCGGAUGAGACCACGAUCCCUUCGGGGGUUGCGGCCAAAGAUGGCCUCUACUUGUAAGCUAUCGCUGAGGGAUGGGCCUGCGGCCAUUAGCUUGUUGGUGAGGUAACGGCUCACCAAGGCUGUGAUGGCUAGCU
rnacentral:rRNA from 1 species